rnacentral:tRNA from 3 species
UCCGGGGUCGUCUAAUGGUAGGACAUCACUCUUUGGAAGUGAUUAUUUUGGUUCGAAUCCAAGCCCCGGAACAA